rnacentral:rRNA from 1 species
GAUGAACGCUGGCGGCGUGCCUAAUACAUGCAAGUCGAGCGAACAGACGAGGAGCUUGCUCCUCUGACGUUAGCGGCGGACGGGUGAGUAACACGUGGAUAACCUACCUAUAAGACUGGGAUAACUUCGGGAAACCGGAGCUAAUACCGGAUAAUAUAUUGAACCGCAUGGUUCAAUAGUGAAAGACGGUUUUGCUGUCACUUAUAGAUGGAUCCGCGCCGCAUUAGCUGGUUGGUAAGGUAACGGCUUACCAAGGCGACGAUGCGUAGCCGACCUGAGAGGGUGAUCGGCCACACGGGAACUGAGACACGGUCCAGACUCCUACGGGAGGCAGCAGUAGGGAAUCUUCCGCAAUGGGCGAAAGCCUGACGGAGCAACGCCGCGUGAGUGAUGAAGGUCUUCGGAUCGUAAAACUCUGUUAUUAGGGAAGAACAAAUGUGUAAGUAACUAUGCACGUCUUGACGGUACCUAAUCAGAAAGCCACGGCUAACUACGUG